rnacentral:rRNA from 1 species
UACCGGCGGCUCGAGUGGUGGCCACUAUUAUUGGGCUUAAAGCGUCCGUAGCUGGACCGAUAAGUCUCUUGGGAAAUCCGCCGGCUCAACCGGCGGGCGUCUAAGGGAUACUGUUAGUCUAGGGACCGGGAGAGGUGAGAGGUACUCCGGGGGUAGGAGUGAAAUCCUGUAAUCCCCGGGGGACCACCGAUGGCGAAGGCAUCUCACCAGAACGGCUCCGACAGUGAGGGACGAAAGCUGGGGGAGCGAA